GAUGAACGCUGGCGGCGUGCCUAAUACAUGCAAGUCGAGCGAACGGACGAGAAGCUUGCUUCUCUGAUGUUAGCGGCGGACGGGUGAGUAACACGUGGAUAACCUACCUAUAAGACUGGGAUAACUUCGGGAAACCGGAGCUCAUACCGGAUAAUAUUUUGAACCGCAUGGUUCAACAGUGAAAGACGGUCUUGCUGUCACUUAUAGAUGGAUCCGCGCUGCAUUAGCUAGUUGGUAAGGUAACGGCUUACCAAGGCAACGAUGCAUAGCCGACCUGAGAGGGUGAUCGGCCACACUGGAACUGAAACACGGUCCAGACUCCUACGGGAGGCAGCAGUAGGGAAUCUUCGGCAAUGGGCGAAAGCCUGACGGAGCAACGCCGCGUGAGUGAUGAAGGUCUUCGGAUCGUAAAACUCUGUUAUUAGGGAAGAGCAUAUGUGUAAGUAACUGUGCACAUCUUGAAGGUACCUAAUCAGAAAGCCACGGCUAACUACGUG
rnacentral:rRNA from 1 species